rnacentral:rRNA from 1 species
UACGUAGGGGGCUAGCGUUGUCCGGAAUCAUUGGGCGUAAAGCGCGUGUAGGCGGUCCGGUAAGUCCGCUGUGAAAGUCGAGGGCUCAACCCUCGAAUGCCGGUGGAAACUGUCGGGCUAGAGUCCGGAAGAGGCGAGUGGAAUUCCCGGUGUAGCGGUGAAAUGCGCAGAUAUCGGGAGGAACACCAAUGGCGAAGGCAGCUCGCUGGGACGGUACUGACGCUGAGACGCGAAAGCGUGGGGAGCAAACAGG